rnacentral:rRNA from 1 species
AACGAACGCUGGCGGCAUGCCUAACACAUGCAAGUCGAACGAGACCUUCGGGUCUUGUGGCGCACGGGUGCGUAACGCGUGGGAACCUGCCCUUAGGUUCGGAAUACCUCCCCGAAAGGGGUGCUAAUACCGGAUAAUCUCUUCGGACCAAAGAUUUAUCGCCUUUGGAUGGGCCCGCGUUGGAUUCGCUGGUUGGUAGGGUAAAAGCCUACCAAGGGGACGAUCCAUAGCUGGUCUGAGAGGAUGAUCAGCCACACUGGGGCUAAGACACGGCCCAGACUCGUACGCGAGGCAGCAGUGGGGAAUAUUGGACAAUGGGGGAAAGCCUGAUCCAGCAAUGCCGCGUAAGUGAUGAAGGCCGUAGGGAAGUAAAGCUCUUUUACCCGGGAUGAUAAUGACAGUACCGGGAGAAUAAGCUCCGGCUAACUCCGUG